GAUAGUGUCUUUUAACAGUGCUAUGUACCCUUACAUGUGCGUGUGUGUAUGCAUGAGACAUGAACAUUGGCGUGUGCAUACCACAACUUAGAAUUGUGAGCAUGAUUUUGGGUUCGAAUUGCAGAAUCACAUUUAGAUAUAUUUAAGCUCUAUGGCUCGAGCUUUUACUUCUCCACAUUGCCUAUUUCUUUCAUUCAUCAUUAUUUUAUAAAACUGGGAACAACUUAUAUACACCAAAUUAUAUUGAACAUAAGGCAAAACCCCCCUCGCAAUUUGCAUUGUGCCCACGAAUCGCAUACAGGAUUUGAGCUAUUUUUAAUAUUUCCCAGUAAAAGCACGAGUGUAAAAAAGUGUACUACCUUAUCUACGCUGCUUUUCGCAACAAAAUUCUUCACUUGGCUCGACAAAAACUUCUUGAAGUUAGCAUUUUGAGUAAUUAUUAAUAACAUAUUGAUAGAUGAAUGUUAUGUACAUACAUACUAUAUGUAUGUAUGUUGGGAAAAAUAGAAAGUGUGGGGAAGUAUAACUGAAUAGAAGAACAAUGAAAUAUGAGGAUGUAUUCAUAUGUAUGGAUGUACUUGAAAUUUACCUGAAUAGAAUUUAAUGAUGUAUGCUAAAUAGGAAGACAGGAAAAAUGUAAUUUACGUGUCAUUUACCUACAUAUGUGAUUGUGGGAGUGUAAAUUUGUAAUUUUGAUUGGUGGGAGGGGGGGGGGGGUGGGGAUAAAUCGUCAUUGCCAUUGUCCUCAUCAUAAUUUAUUUGUUUUAUUUAUUGCAUUUCGCUUAUUUAUGUAUACAUAUAUGUAUAAGGUAAUUUACUUUUAACUUUAAAUGGAUUUACGUAAAUGUACGUAAUACAUUUUUAAUAUUUGUUGUUUCUCAUUUCAAUAUAAUUUUGUUCAUGAUUUGUUUACAUUUUUUGUUUUUGUUUUUAUUUUUUAUUUAUUUAUUUCUCCUUUUUUGGUGAUAUUUUAGACUAAAUUGACUAGCAAAGUUCUUCUGAGUAUUCGCAGCUGUGUUUGUGUGUUGCAAUAAC